rnacentral:lncRNA from 10 species
UUCAUCUCUGUUUUAAAUCUGCCCUUAUUUUUCAGUGUCUAUCUAUCACGAGUGUUUCUAAUGGUGAGAAGCCAAGAAACUCUUAGGAUAUUCUUGAGAUAAGGCACACAUUUUAAUGCAUGUUUAAUAACACCCUAUUUUCAUGAGACUGGGUCGAUUUUGUAUGUGGCGUGUUAUCUACAGAAGCCUUCCACCAUGUCCUCCAUGCACAUCUUCCUCACAGUCUGUGUUGUGAGUCUAGAUGGAUGUGAGCACAGAUCUAAAGUUUCCUGCCUCCAUCUGUUCACACCCAGUACAGAACACCACACUCAGGCUAAAUGAAAUGACAACUCAGAGACAGACGCCAAGGCCCCUGGCAGCGCAGACUCGGAUGGAGUCUAUGAGUUCCAGAGGCCAGCAACCACAGUAAAUUGGAAGAUCCUGGGUAUUUCUGGUGCUCAGAGCAAGAAUGGUUCAUAUUUGGCACAAAAGCUGGAAUCCCACAGUGAGGAGAGAUGGAAAACAAGAAUACUGCUCUUGUACAAAUAAGUGGACUGGAGCAACGAUCCGUGAAAUGGUGUCCUGGAAACUCCAUCCCAGGCGCCCUCACUGUAAUUGUUUUUAAAAUGGUGGUGAAGCAAAGAGCAUUUUGGAAAUCUUUUCCUAACCCCUCACAGGAAAAUGUGAAGGCAGCAGUCACCACCUGCAAACAAACAGAUCAUUGGUGACUGACUGCAGCAUCAAACUGUACCUGAGCUUCCCAGAGAAAUGGGCUCUUUGUUUCAGGUAAUUGGCAGAAUUAGAAAAAUGGCCUUCAUUACAAUCUCUCUAUAUAAAUUUUUGAUUUAUAGGUUUGUGAUAAAUUAAUAGCUUUGAAGUUUUACAAGGGUUGCCAUGUAUCUCAUAUCAAACCAAACAGCCCAGGACCAAGACUUUGAUCAAGUAUUGAAUUUGCUUUUAUCAAUGGGUGUCCAGGGUUGCUUGGGGUCCCAAGAAUCUCUGGCAUUUAAAGAUGCCUGCUGCCCCUGCUGGAAUAUUUGGAAAUGCUAUUAAGAAUUGGUGCCCUGAAGGCAAGUAGAUUACCCAGAUUUCCUCUUUCAAAGAGAUACUGUGAGACUUGGAAAACAGUAUUUAUUUUUUACUUCAAUUUAAUAUGAAUAAUUGAGUCCUAGUAUAUAAAUAAUAGAGUCCUCAGCUAGAAAAAAACCUUAGUUGCUAUUCAGGUUGUGGCAGUCUCCAAUCGUAUAGGAAUGCUCUUUGCAAACUUCUGUAACUAACACUUCCAGUGAUGAAAAGCUAAUACUCUUUGUAAUGCAGACUGUUUCAUUGUGUGUACAAUUCUGAAUCCCAGAUCCUUUUCUCUCCACUCUUCUAAUAUAGAGCUCAAAUCUAUUGUGUCCAAAUUCCCAUCCGUCUUUUUUCUAAGUCAACAUUUUAGAGACUUAAAGAACAUAAACAUCAUCUUCCACAUGACAACCCUUAAAAUACGUGACUCAAACCAUUCCUGAAAAGUCCUUUUUUGUCCAAGCUAAAUGUCCACAUUUUUCUCAGCUAUUGCUGUUUUAAGUGUGAUUUUCAUAUCACUCACUGGUCAUUUGAGUUUACAUAAUCUUCAGAAUUUCAGAAUAUCUUUUAAAAUAUAGAAUUAAUAACUAAACAUAAUACCACAGAUUAUGCUAUGACUGAAAAUGCUGUGAAGGUAUUUUAUUGGAUUUAUCUAUUUUUAUAAUAAUGCAGCUUCAGAUUUCAUAUAAUCACAGCAAUGAUGGAUCUUCCCUCUUCUGAUCUUUAUUUAUCAUCUGAUUUUUGUUUUCCUUAGGUACAUUUUCCCUUUUUCACUACAAAAUAAUUUUUAAAAUACAGAAAAAUAUAUAUAUAUAUUUUUUGAGACGGAGUCUCGCUGUAUCGCCCAGGCUGGAGUGUAGUGACGCGAUCUCGGCUCACUGCAAGCUCCGCCUCCCGGGUUCAUGCCAUUCUCCCGCCUCAGCCUCCUGAGUAGCUGGGACUACAGGCGCUUGCCACCAUGCCCAGCUGAUUUUUCGUAUUUUUAGUAGAGAUGGCGUUUCACCAUAUUAGCCAGGAUGGUCUCGAUCUCCUGACCUCAUGAUCCACCCACCUCUGCCUCCCAAAGUGCUGGGAUUACAGGAAGUCUUAAUAUCUAAGAGGGAGGAACCCAGCCUGUAUUAUUCACCUUGAAAAUUUUCAUCUUACAAAUUACUUGACCUUCCCCUUGUUCUUAUACAUAAAUUUCUGGAUCAGUUUGUUAAAUUUCAUCAAAAACAAAAGCAAAACCCUUCAGGGCUCUUGUUUGUAACUGCACUGAAUUAAUUGAUUUUAAUGGGGAGAAUUAAAAUAUUGGUUCCUAACUUUUAAAUGCCAGACAACAUGUUUUCUCCUGAGCAUUUUAUUUCUCACCCUGACCAUGAGACCCAAUAAAUAAGGUCAAGUCACAUCAUACCCUAGCAGUCAAAAGCAGAGUUAUCAUACUGGGAGUGGUAAGAGGUAGGACUGUGGUUACACAAUGAAGGCAAGGUAGAAAACAGUUGACAACCGCAGUGUCUCUUAUUACUCUCUCACUCAAUCAUGACAAUACAUGGACAAUAACAGCCACAGCAGUGUGAGAAGAACAUGGUAACCAGAGGCUCAGAACCCUCACAGAUAAAAGUGUGUUAACCUGACUUGAUAAACCAGUAAUACCAGUUCAGUUACUAACUGAGGAUGUGGGCAAUUUCAAAUGGGUACUAGAGGAGGAAGAUGAUGAGCACCUAUGAUAAUCUGAGACCAACUAUUGUAGUAGGGACUGCCAUUUGUUUUACUACCUUUUCUCUUUUAUAAUUUCUAGAAAAAGAGACUAACAAGAAUCAUGGAGAAGCUUUUUCCAAUUGGAGUGAACUUAUUAUAUGGAACAAAUAGAUCUGAGCAGUGCUGGGGUGAACUGUAGUGGAUGCUGUGUUUUGUGACACAGAUGUCCUUUGUGACUAAGGCACUCAUUUCCCCAGGUUCGAGACUGUUGGUUGCUGAUUGCUCCCAGCUGAGUCAGUCUCCAAGCAAUUUUUUCAGCCAAGGAAAUCAUCCUAUCCCAAAAGUUAAACUCCAUUCCCUGAUGAAAGCUGUCAUAUAAUAAUUAGUUGUUGGGGACAGGGAGAGUUAAAAAAAGCCCCACAUUGUUGCCACAAUUGAGAAAUCUCUGAAUAGCCAUCCCAACCACUGUUGCCGCUGAGAGUUGUGAGACCUCUGUUAGAACUGCAUGAUUACAGUUCAGUUUCUCCUGUGUUUAAUCCUGCUUUCUUCACUCUUCAUUGGUGUUGCUCAUCAGAGAACUCCCCAAAAAACUAGCUGCAUGAAAACUCAGAGCCUCAGACUUUUGUUCCUUUGGGAUAUCUGACUUCCAAAAAUUACUAAAAUUUCCAUUAAUUAUACCUGCACAUAAUUUCAGUAACCAAGGAUUAUAAUUCAAGUUGACUGUGGGUAUUUGAAAACAUAAAUCAUAUAUUAUCUUGCCAUCUCACUGGAGAUAUUAAGAUUGAAUUCCAUACUAAAUAUAUUUUAGAAAUAUUUUCUCAUUCUAAUUCUGUUUCUAUGAAUAAAAGAUUUUCUCUUUUCCCCUGACAUUCUGGAAUUUAUCAGUGAUACCCAUUUAAUUUUUUUCAAUUAAUUUUACUGAGUAGUCAGUUGCUUUAAAAAUGAAAACAUAUAUUUUUCCAUUUGAAAAAAAAUGUACCUAUGUCUUUGAUAACCGCCUUUUCCCUGUUUCCUUUGUUCUCAUUUACUAGGACUCCAGUUAAGUGAAUGUUGGACCUUCUAGAUGAAUAAUUUAACUUCUUAACGUUUCUAAAUUUUAUCUCUUUGUUAUUUCGUCUACUUAUUGAGAGACUUCGUCAACUUUUAACUUCCAAAUUUUUGAAUUGGAAGAUUUUUAAUUUCUAUGAUUUUCUUAUUUUACUCUGAUGAUUCUUCUGUUGAUGGUGC